GCUGGGCACAGUGGUGCGCCCCUGUGAUCCCAGCAACUGUGGAGGCUGAGGCAGGAGGAUUGUGAGUUCCAGGCCAGCCUUAGCAACUUAAUGAGACCCUGUCUCAA
rnacentral:sRNA from 1 species